AUGGCGAACAACGGCAGCAGCAGCCGCCGCGCGGACGGCGACGUCGGCGCCACCCCAUCCCGAUGGCGUUUCUUCCGGCCAUCGGCUGGCACGCCGCUGGCGGCCGCCGGCAGCAUGAGCAUCCGCUCGGUUCUCAACCGUCUCAACUCGUCCGUCGACGCGUCCGGGACGCGCCCCGUCGUGCCGCUCGGCCACGGCGACCCCACCUCCUCCGCCUGCUUCCGGACCGCGCCGGAGGCCGAGGACGCCGUCGUGGACGCGCUCCGCUCCAGGAAGCACAACGGCUACUCCCCCACCGUCGGUGUGCCCCAGGCGCGCAGUGCUAUUGCAGAGUACCUGUCUCGAGACCUCCCUUACGAGCUUUCACCAGAUGAUAUAUACCUGACCUCUGGAUGCGUGCAAGCCAUCGAGAUCAUGAUCUCUGUCCUUGCCCAGCCGGGGGCUAACAUCUUGCUCCCGAGACCCGGGUUUCCGAUGUACGAGUCGCGGACCACAUUCAGCGAGUUAGAGGUUCGAUAUUUCGACCUCGUCCCCGAAAGAGGCUGGGAGGCAGACCUCGAGUCUGUGAAGGCUAUUGCUGAUGAGAACACGGUUGCGAUGCUCAUAAUCAAUCCCAGUAACCCUUGUGGGAGUGUCUACUCACAUGAUCAUUUGGCCCAAAUUGCAGAAACCGCAGGAGAACUUGGCAUAUUGAUAAUUGCUGAUGAGGUAUACGACCACUUGGCAUUUGGAAUUAAGCCUUUUAUACCAAUGGGCGUUUUUGGCAAUACGGUCCCAGUCAUCACCUUGGGAGCUAUAUCUAAAAGGUGGCUUGUGCCUGGUUGGCGACUUGGCUGGAUCGCAACGUGUGACCCAAAUGGCAUCUUAAAGGAAACCAAGAUUGACCAGUCAAUUCAAAACUAUAUUAACAUCACAAGUGAUCCUGCAACAUUCAUUCAGGGAGCAGUCCCUCAAAUUAUAGCCAACACAAAGGAAGAAUACUUCAAGAAAAUUCUUGAUUUAUUAAGAAACUCGGCAGAUUUAUGUUACGGUAAAAUAAAGGAUAUCAGGGGCAUUACAUGUCCGCACAAACCGGAGGGAUCAAUGUUUGUGAUGGCUAAGUUGGACCUCUCUUGCUUGGAUGGCUUUUCUGAUGAUGUAGAUUUCUGCUGCAGGCUGGCAAAAGAAGAAUCUGUAAUAGUUUUACCAGGUACUGCACUGGGAAUGAAGGAUUGGGUUCGGAUCACUUUCGCCAUUGACCUGCCAUCUCUUGAGGAUGGCCUUGAAAGGCUGAAAUCUUUCUGCGAGAGGCAUGCUAUAGUAGAGGCCUAA
rnacentral:rRNA from 1 species